rnacentral:rRNA from 1 species
AGAACGAACGCUGGCGGCAGGCUUAACACAUGCAAGUCGAACGCCCCGCAAGGGGAGUGGCAGACGGGUGAGUAACGCGUGGGAAUCUACCUAGUUCUACGGAACAACAGUUGGAAACGACUGCUAAUACCGUAUACGCCCUACGGGGGAAAGAUUUAUCGGAAUUAGAUGAGCCCGCGUAAGAUUAGCUAGUUGGUGGGGUAAUGGCCUACCAAGGCGACGAUCUUUAGCUGGUCUGAGAGGAUGAUCAGCCACACUGGGACUGAGACACGGCCCAGACUCCUACGGGAGGCAGCAGUGGGGAAUAUUGGACAAUGGGCGCAAGCCUGAUCCAGCCAUGCCGCGUGAGUGAUGAAGGCCUUAGGGUGUAAAGCUCUUUCAGGCGGGAAGAUAAGUGACGGUACCACAGAAGAACGCCCGGCUAACUCGUCGCCAGCAGCCGC